rnacentral:lncRNA from 1 species
UUAAUUACCUAUCUUAGGAUGCUUAAUUAGAUGGAAAACCUCCAAGUUCGAGAACAAGGUCAUAUUAAUCUCUGCCUCCAAGAGCCAAGGGAAGUGCCUGGAUCAUACACGAAGUCCCUCACUAGAUGCUGGCACCAUGUUCUUGGACUUUCCAGCCUUCAGAACUUCACUCAUGGACUCACCCAGAUCAACUUCCAGUUCUGCAAGCUCCAUUCUUAGUAAGUGCCCUAUACAGAUGUGCUGUUUGCUUUUACUUUUAGUCUUUCAUACCAUAUAUUUGCUGUCUCUUUUCUAUGUUUAAAUACCAAAUACCAGUGUGUCACAAUUGCUUUCAGUGUUUGGUACAGUAAUUGUGCUAUAUAGGUUUAUUGCCUAGGAGCAACAGGCUACCCCAUAGAGCCUAGGUGUAUUGUAGGCCAUACCAUCCAGGUUGGUGUAAGUACACUCUAUGAUGCUCACACAAUGAUGACAUCACCUAACGAUGCAUUUCUCCAAUUGUAUCCCAUUAUUAAGGGAUGCAUGACUCUAUUUUAGUGAUGGCUGUACAAAUCUCAAAGAAAAGUGGAGAAGACUAGGGCCAAGAUGGAGGGGCCAAGAAGUUACAAUUUGAGGAUGCUUUUUCUCAUUCAUUCAUUUAGUCAGUAAUUUUUUAUUCAGCAUCUACUGUGUCU